rnacentral:rRNA from 1 species
GACGAACGCUGGCGGCGUGCUUAACACAUGCAAGUCGAACGGGUCUGCCCUGUUUUUUGCGGGGUGGGUCAGUGGCGAAUGGGUGAGUAACACGUGAGUAACCUGCCCCUCACUUCUGGAUAACCGCUUGAAAGGGUGGCUAAUACGGGGUGUUCUGGCUGUGCCGCAUGGUGUGGCUGGGAAAGAUUCACUUUUGUGGUGUUUUGGUGGGGGAUGGGCUCGCGGCCUAUCAGCUUGUUGGUGGGGUGAUGGCCUGCCAAGGCUUUGACGGGUAGCCGGCCUGAGAGGGUGGGCGGUCACACUGGGACUGAGAUACGGCCCAGACUCCUGCGGGAGGCAGCAGUGGGGGGUAUUGCACAAUGGGCGGAAGCCUGAUGCAGCGACGUCGCGUGAGGGAUGGAGGCCUUCGGGUUGUGAACCUCUUUCGCCGGUGAAGAAGGUCCUGCUCUUUGGGGUGGGGUUGACGAUAGCCGGGUUAUGAAGCGCCGGCUAACUACGUG